GUCUCUUAGAAAUUAUUAAGAGUCAGGCCUGCCCAGUGAUUGCUUUUUAACGGCCGCGGUACCCUGACCGUGCAAAGGUAGCAUAAUCAUUUGCCUUUUAAUUGAAGGCUGGUAUGAACGGUUUGACGAGAGUAAAGCUGUCUCACAUAUACUUAACAGAAAUUAAUUUAAAGGUGCAAAAGCCUUUAUUACCCAAAAAGACGAGAAGACCCUGUUGAGCUUUAAUUUAACUCAAGUAUUAACUGUAUAUUGAUAUAACUCACUUGCUUGACAAAAAUUUUAAUUGGGGCGAUUAAGGAACACUCAAAAGCUUCCUGAUUAUAUUGAUAAAAUAUUUAUAGAUUAGAUCGAUCCAGCAAUGCUGAUCAACAAAAUGAGUUACCACAGGGAUAACAGCAUAAUUCUUUUUGAGAGCUCAUAUCGAAAAAAGAGAUUGUGACCUCGAUGUUGGACUAGGGUGACCGGAAGGUGCAGCCGCUUUCCCGCUUGGUCUGUUCGACCAAUAAUUCCCUACA
rnacentral:rRNA from 1 species